ACCUGGUUGAUCCUGCCAGUAGUCAUAUGCUUGUCUUAAGGAUUAAGCCAUGCAUGUCUCAGUACAAACGAUUUUGUACGGUGAAACUGCGAAUGGCUCAUUAAUACAGUUAUAGUUUAUUUGAUCGUGCGGCGCUACGUGGAUACCCGUAGGAAUUCUAGAGCUAAUACAUGCACCAUUGCUUUGUUGUUUUUUUGUUUUGUUUUUUCGAUCUUGGGAUAAUUUUUUAAUUAAUUUUAUUGUAACAAAAAAAAAAUAAAAAUAAAAAAGAAUAAAGCGGGAUUUAUUAGAACAAAAACCAAUCGUUCUAAAAAAAUAAAUUAAAGAAAAAAGAAACUAUAAAAUCAGACGGAGUGUAAUUAGCUUUUAAUCUUGUUUUUAUCUUUUUAUUUUUCUUUUUUUUAGGAAACGUGGCAGGAUGAAUCAUAAUAACUAUCCGAAUCGCAAGGCAAUAUAUUUGGCCGGCGAUAAAUCAUUCAAAUUUCUGCCCUAUCAACUUUCGAUGGUAGGGUAGUGGCCUACCAUGGUGUUGACGGGUGACGGAGAAUUAGGGUUCGAUUCCGGAGAGGGAGCCUGAGAAAUGGCUACCACAUCCAAGGAAGGCAGCAGGCGCGCAAAUUACCCAAUCCUGAUUCAGGGAGGUAGCGACAAGAAAUAACGAUUGCAGACUCAUACGAGCCUGUUAAUUGGAAUGAGGAUAAUUUACACCCCUUCUCGAGGAUCCAUUGGAGGGCAAGUCUGGUGCCAGCAGCCGCGGUAAUUCCAGCUCCAAUAGCGUAUACUAAAGUUGUUGCAGUUAAAAAGCUCGUAGUCGAAUACGGAUUUUCGCAUGCGGUUUCUCUAAGGUGAAAGUCUCAAGAGAAAUGUGCAAGUAAAAUCCAAACAUGUUAUCUUUUUUUUUUCUUAAUUUUAUUGUCUUUUAAUUUUAUAUUGAAAACAAAAAAAAUUUGAUAAAAUUAGUGGCAUCAUUUACUGUGAACAAAAUAGAGUGUUCAUGGCAGGCCUUUUAUGGCUUAUAUACCUCAGCAUGGAAUAAUAGAAUAGGACUUCCGGUUCCAUUUUAUUGGUUUUUAGAGCCGAAGUAAUGAUUAAUAGGGAUAGUUGGGGGCACCCGUACUCCGUUGUCAGAGGUGAAAUUCUUGGAUUUACGGAAGACGAACAACUGCGAAAGCAUCUGCCAAGGAUGUUUUCAUUGAUCAAGAACGAAAGUUAGGGGAUCGAAGACGAUCAGAUACCGUCGUAGUCUUAACCAUAAACUAUGCCGACUGGGGAUUGGUAGAUGUAUCA
rnacentral:rRNA from 1 species